rnacentral:rRNA from 1 species
GACGAACGCUGGCGGCGUGCUUAACACAUGCAAGUCGAACGGUAAGGCCCUUCGGGGUACACGAGUGGCGAACGGGUGAGUAACACGUGGGUGAUCUGCCCUGCACUUCGGGAUAAGCCUGGGAAACUGGGUCUAAUACCGGAUAGGACCCUGGGAUGCAUGUCCUGGGGUGGAAAGCUUUUGCGGUGUGGGAUGGGCCCGCGGCCUAUCAGCCUGUUGGUGGGGUGAUGGCCUACCAAGGCGACGACGGGUAGCCGGCCUGGGAGGGUGACCGGCCACACUGGGACUGAGAUACGGCCCAGACUCCUACGGGAGGCAGCAGUGGGGAAUAUUGCACAAUGGGCGCAAGCCUGAUGCAGCGACGCCGCGUGAGGGAUGACGGCCUUCGGGUUGUAAACCUCUUUCAGCACCGACGAAGCGCAAGUGACGGUAGGUGCAGAAGAAGGACCGGCCAACUACGUGCCAGCAGCCGCCGUAA